rnacentral:rRNA from 1 species
AGCGAACGCUGGCGGCAGGCCUAACACAUGCAAGUCGAACGAAGCCUUCGGGCUUAGUGGCGGACGGGUGAGUAACACGUGGGAACGUACCUUUUGGUUCGGAACAACUCAGGGAAACUUGAGCUAAUACCGGAUGAGCCCUUAGGGGGAAAGAUUUAUCGCCGAAAGAGCGGCCCGCGUUAGAUUAGCUAGUUGGUGAGGUAAAGGCUCACCAAGGCAACGAUCUAUAGCUGGUCUGAGAGGAUGAUCAGCCACACUGGGACUGAGACACGGCCCAGACUCCUACGGGAGGCAGCAGUGGGGAAUCUUGCGCAGUGGGCGAAAGCCUGACGUAGCCAUGCCGCGUGAAUGAUGAAGGUCUUAGGAUUGUAAAAUUCUUUUACCAGGGACGAUAAUGACGGUACCUGGAGAAAAAGCCCCGGCUAACUUCGUGCCAGCCGCCGCAGUAAAAC